rnacentral:rRNA from 1 species
GGGGAAUCUUCCACAAUGGGCGAAAGCCUGAUGGAGCAACGCCGCGUGAGUGAUGAAGGCCUUCGGGUUGUAAAGCUCUGUUAUUCGGGACGAAAGAGCGCAUGGCUAAUAUCCAUGCGAAGUGACGGUACCGAAAGAGAAAGCCACGGCUAACUACGUGCCAGCAGCCGCGGUAAUACGUAGGUGGCAAGCGUUAUCCGGAUUUAUUGGGCGUAAAGCGAGCGCAGGCGGUUUCUUAAGUCUGAUGUGAAAGCCCCCGGCUCAACCGGGGAGGGUCAUUGGAAACUGGGAGACUUGAGUGCAGAAGAGGAGAGUGGAAUUCCAUGUGUAGCGGUGAAAUGCGUAGAUAUAUGGAGGAACACCAGUGGCGAAGGCGGCUCUCUGGUCUGUAACUGACGCUGAGGCUCGAAAGCGUGGGGAGCGAAC